rnacentral:rRNA from 1 species
UAAGGAAUAUUGGACAAUGGGCGCAAGCCUGAUCCAGCCAUGCCGCGUGAAGGAUUAAGGUCCUCUGGAUUGUAAACUUCUUUUAUAAGGGACGAAAAAAGGGAAUUCUUUCUCACUUGACGGUACCUUAUGAAUAAGCACCGGCUAACUCCGUGCCAGCAGCCGCGGUAAUACGGAGGGUGCAAGCGUUAUCCGGAUUCACUGGGUUUAAAGGGUGCGUAGGCGGGUAUUUAAGUCAGUGGUGAAAUCCUAGAGCUUAACUCUAGAACUGCCAUUGAUACUAUUUAUCUUGAAUAUUGUGGAGUUAAGCGGAAUAUGUCAUGUAGCGGUGAAAUGCUUAGAUAUGACAUAGAACACCUAUUGCGAAGGCAGCUUACUACGCAUAUAUUGACGCUGAGGCACGAAAGCGUGGGGAUCAAACAGG